GAUGAACGCUAGCGGCAGGCCUAACACAUGCAAGUCGAGGGGGAAGUUACUUUCGGGUGACUGAGACCGGCGUACGGGUGCGUAACGCGUAUACAAUCUGCCUUUCACUGGGGGAUAGCCCGAAGAAAUUUGGAUUAAUACCCCAUAGUAUAUAGGGACGGCAUCGUUUUUAUAUUAAAGCUUAGGUGGUGAAAGAUGAGUAUGCGUUCUAUUAGCUAGUUGGAGAGGUAACGGCUCCCCAAGGCGAUGAUAGAUAGGGGUUCUGAGAGGGAUGUCCCCCACACUGGUACUGAGAUACGGACCAGACUCCUACGGGAGGCAGCAGUGAGGGAUAUUGGACAAUGGUCGGAAGACUGAUCCAGCCAUGCCGCGUGCAGGAUGAAGGUCUUAUGGAUUGUAAACUGCUUUUGUAAGGGAAGAAUAAGGGCUACGCGUAGUUUGAUGACGGUACCUGACGAAUAAGCAUCGGCUAACUCCGUG
rnacentral:rRNA from 1 species